GACGAACGCUGGCGGCGUGCUUAACACAUGCAAGUCGAACGGAAAGGCCCUGCUUUUGUGGGGUGCUCGAGUGGCGAACGGGUGAGUAACACGUGAGUAACCUGCCCUUGACUUUGGGAUAACUUCAGGAAACUGGGGCUAAUACCGGAUAGGAGCUCCUGCUGCAUGGUGGGGGUUGGAAAGUUUCGGCGGUUGGGGAUGGACGCGCGGCUUAUCAGCUUGUUGGUGGGGUAGUGGCUUACCAAGGCUUUGACGGGUAGCCGGCCUGAGAGGGUGACCGGCCACAUAGGGCCUGAGGUAGGACCCAGAGUGAUACGUGGGGCAGGGGUGGAAAAUAUUGCACACUGGGCCGCAGCCGGAUGCAACGACGUCGGGUGCGGGAUGACGGUUUGUGGGUAAUAAACCGCUUUCGCGUGUGACGAAGCGUGAGUGACGGUAACGGCUAAAGAAGCACCGGCUAACUACGUG
rnacentral:rRNA from 1 species